CAACUGUGCUGUGAAUGGCUGGCGGGCAAGGCUGGGCCAGUUUUCUACACCUGGCUGGGCACCUGGCCCAACAUAGGUGUUCAGAGACCAGUGAAUAGGAAGGUGCCCGUGGGAAAGAUGGAGCAAGAGCUGAGAAGUAAGAGGACACACUGUGAACUGAGGCCUAUGGACCAAGAGCAUUUCUUGAGCACCUGCUGUAUGCAAGUCGCCGUGCAGAACUCUGAGGAGACCAGCUUGUAAGACCCAUAUGCAGUUUCUAAACACUGAAUGUAAUUGGGGUUGUUUUUAAACUUAACGGCCCAUGGGUGAGAUGCUUUGCCUCUCUCAGGAUGCUCCCAUCUCCAUGCACCACCAAAUGCAGGACAUCCGACUCUCCUUUCUGCGUAGACAGCAUGUCCUGCUCCAGGUCCAUCCAGGUGCUCAUGCCUUCAAUAGCUCCUGCAUCCUGGACUUUGGUGUUGCAGAGUUAUGGAACCAGCCCAGGAUGUCUGUUCAUCAAGAGAAGAAUGGAUGCAGGACAUGUUUCCAUGGGAAGCAGCCAGCAGGGAUGCGAUGCUUCUGAUUACAGCUAGACCUCACAGACUCUUUUCCCUGUUGCUGACAGUUGUACGAAAACCCAGCUCCCGGAGGAUCGUGCGCCACCCGGUCUGCCUUAGAAUGGAACGGUGCUUGUAUUAUCUACUUUUCCUUGUGCAUAUAGAGCGCAUAGGGGCCUGCGGGUGUAUGUCAGAUGUCUUCUGCUCUCCACCUUGUCUGUCUGUCUGUCUGUCUGUCUGUCUGUCUGUCUGCUUGCUUGUUUGUUUGUCACACAGGGUCUCCCCCUGAUCUCCGAAGCUCACUGAUUGGCUACCCUGGCUGACCAAUGAGCUCAAGGGAUCUCUUUGCCUCUCAAGAUGUGGCAUGCAUAGGACCUAUUUUUCUCCCCCUGCCUGCCCCCCUUUUCCCUAGAACCUCAUUCCUCAGAAAGGCGAACUUGAAGUAAUUGUACGCAAGUUGCCACAACUUCUUGGUGAAGUUGGAGCUCCAAAUAGAAAUGUAAAAUUCAGAGCAAAAUAAAAUUACUUUUGUUAGCACUUUGCCUAAGCUCCGCCCCACAGUUACCUGGCAACAGCUAGGUUGCCUGGCUUACUAUAAAAGGGGCUGCUUGGUCCCCUCCUCGCCUCUUGCUCUUGCCUUCCUGCUCUGACUCUGUCCUCUUACCCCUCUUCCCAUUCCCCAUCCCCACAUGCUCAUAGUCAGCUUCUCUUCUCUCUUCUCUCCUCUCUCU
rnacentral:lncRNA from 1 species